GAUGAACGCUAGCGGCAGGCUUAACACAUGCAAGUCGAGGGGUAACGUGAGUGCUUGCACUUGACGACGACCGGCGCACGGGUGCGUAACGCGUAUAGAACCUACCUUUUAGUAAGGGAUAGCCCAGAGAAAUUUGGAUUAAUACCUUAUAGUAUGAUAAGAUGGCAUCAUUUAAUCAUUAAAGAUUUAUUGCUAAAAGAUGGCUAUGCGUUCUAUUAGUUAGUUGGUAAGGUAACGGCUUACCAAGACAUCGAUAGAUAGGGGCCCUGAGAGGGGGAUCCCCCACACUGGUACUGAGACACGGACCAG
rnacentral:rRNA from 1 species